rnacentral:pre_miRNA from 1 species
GGCACAAACUCGAAGUAGUGUAGUUUAGUAGGGUCGGAUGAUUCUCCUGAUCCACUCUAUUUCAAAUUUGGGCCC